CUGAAAAUCCCCAGCUUCCAACGUUG
rnacentral:misc_RNA from 1 species